rnacentral:rRNA from 1 species
CCUACGGGAGGCAGCAGUGAGGAAUAUUGGUCAAUGGACGAGAGUCUGAACCAGCCAAGUAGCGUGAAGGAUGACUGCCCUAUGGGUUGUAAACUUCUUUUAUAUGGGAAUAAAAUGUUCCACGUGUGGUGUUUUGUAUGUACCCUAUGAAUAAGGAUCGGCUAACUCCGUGCCAGCAGCCGCGGUAAUACGGAGGAUCCGAGCGUUAUCCGGAUUUAUGGGGUUUAAAGGGAGCGUAGGUGGAUUGUUAAGUCAGUUGUGAAAGUUUGCGGCUCAACCGGAAAAGUGCAGUUGAAACUGGCAGUCUGGAGUACAGUAGAGGUGGGCGGAAUUCGUGGUGUAGCGGUGAAAUGCUUAGAUAUCACGAAGAACUCCGAUUGCGAAGGCAGCGCACUGGACUGCAACUGACACUGAGGCUCGAAAGUGUGGGUAUCAAACAGGAUUAGAUACCCGGGUAGUC